ACUAGACCCGAGACCAUCACCUAGACCCAGAUCCAUGCCUAGACCGAGCCCACCACUACCACAGCUCAGGAGGUCGUGCUGUGUGCGUGCAGCAUAGAGGCUGAGGUGUGGAGAAAAGUGGAGCUCUUCAUCUUACACGACAAGACCUCACUGAGAAUAUGCCACUAGAUGUCAGUCAAAACUCGGGCAUGAUGCCAGAGCGAGUAGACAAGUAGUAGUGCAAUGUUAAUUAUGUUCAUGAUGUGUAAUGGAUGUACAGCAUAACAUGUCAAAAAUGCACUUUAUGUCAUUAAAAAAACAAAACAGACCAAGGCACAA